CUUUGUUGCAUCCUUUACUUUGGAUGGUGCGACACUAACCAUGUAUUGUGCACCGUGCACCACAGGUGUCACUACAUAACUCCCACACUUAUAAAGCUCGUCUUGGAACUUCAGCAAAACAGAACGUGUGUAUAUUGAUGCAGCAUCAUCCUCUAUUGGAUAUGUGGAUUCGUAAGUACGUGAUUUCUACACACAAACGAUGGCUCGUUAGCAAACCGACUAAACAGAAUUCAUAAUGAUAUUAGAUAAUGAGAUGUAAACGGAGUCGUGGGUCUUACAUUUGCAUUUAGGUGGAAUUCCCUUGCCUCAUCGCUCAUCCUUGACCCAAGGAAUUUGUUGUAUUGGCGAACAAACACGUGCAUGGGGG
rnacentral:lncRNA from 1 species